rnacentral:rRNA from 1 species
AUUGAACGCUGGCGGCAUGCCUUACACAUGCAAGUCGAACGGCAGCACGGGAGCAAUCCUGGUGGCGAGUGGCGAACGGGUGAGUAAUGUAUCGGAACGUGACCAGUCGUGGGGGAUAACGUAGCGAAAGCUACGCUAAUACCGCAUACGAUCUGUGGAUGAAAGAGGGGGACCGUAAGGCCUCGCGCGAUUGGAGCGGCCGAUAUCAGAUUAGGUAGUUGGUGGGGUAAAGGCCUACCAAGCCGACGAUCUGUAGCUGGUCUGAGAGGACGACCAGCCACACUGGGACUGAGACACGGCCUAGACUCCUACGGGAGGCAGCAGUGGGGAAUUUUGGACAAGGGGCGCAAGCCUGAUCCAGCAAGGCCGCGUGCAUGAUGAAGGCCUUCGGGUUGUAAACUGCUUUUGUACGGGGCGAAAAGGCUCUCUCUAAUACAGGGGGCUCAUGACGGUACCGUAAGAAUAAGCACCGGCUAACUACGUGCCAGCCGCCGCCGUAA